CCUACGGGAGGCAGCAGUGGGGGAUAUUGCACAAUGGGGGAAACCCUGAUGCAGCGACGCCGCGUGGGUGAAGAAGUAUUUCGGUAUGUAAAGCCCUAUCAGCAGGGAAGAAAGAAGACGGUACCUGACUAAGAAGCCCCGGCUAACUACGUGCCAGCAGCCGCGGUAAUACGUAGGGGGCGAGCGUUAUCCGGAUGCACUGGGUGUAAAGGGAGCGUAGACGGCCGUGCAAGCCAGGAGUGAAAGCCCGGGGCCCAACCCCGGGACUGCUCUUGGAACUGUGCGGCUGGAGUGCGGGAGGGGCAGGCGGAAGUCCUGGUGUAGCGGUGAAAUGCGUAGAUAUCAGGAGGAACACCGGCGGCGAAGGCGGCCUGCUGGACCGCGACUGACGUUGAGGCUCGAAAGCGUGGGGAGCGAACAGGAUUAGAUACCCUAGUAGUC
rnacentral:rRNA from 1 species